rnacentral:rRNA from 1 species
UACGUAGGGUGCGAGCGUUAAUCGGAAUUACUGGGCGUAAAGCGUGCGCAGGCGGUGAUGUAAGCCAGAUGUGAAAUCCCCGGGCUUAACCUGGGAAUGGCAUUUGGGACUGCAAGGCUUGAGUGCGGCAGAGGAGACUGGAAUUCCUGGUGUAGCAGUGAAAUGCGUAGAUAUCAGGAGGAACACCGAUGGCGAAGGCAGGUCUCUGGGCUGACACUGACGCUCAUGCACGAAAGCGUGGGGAGCAACAGG